ensembl:lncRNA
CGGAAGUUCUCACUAGCAGAAGAAAUAAGUGUUUGCUGGCAUUAGUUUCUGGACAAAUUAAGAGACACAUUGUUGCCACUAAGUACUAGAACUUAUAACAUAGAGAAACAUUUCAAAGGUGACAAUUCAACUCACAGAUCAAAGACUCGUGAUUCUUUUGCCAGUUUCUUUUUUUUUAAUCUCACAAAACACAUGAAUCUGAGACAUGAGCUCUCUUUCCCGUCUGUGCAGCUAAACAAUCUCACCGAUUUUAAAAACAAGGGAGAAGAAAAUAAUUUAUACAUCCUUUUUUUUUUUUAAUCAUAUCUACAAAAAUAAAAUCAAAUACGAGGACUAAGGCUUUACAGGAACAAAAAUAACAAAUAUAAAACAAGUGGGUCUGAUCUCUCUAUAUUACAUGAGUGACAUGUGUUUUAUUUUUUAAAAGACAAAAUAAACCAUGAGAUGAUAGUUAGACGUGUGUAUGCAUACAGUAGUUUGCAUCGUGCAGGGAAGUUUCUUUGUGCAACUCAUUUUUUUUUUUUUUUUUUUUAAGAAUCAGUUAUAGCUUCUUUUUUUCCCCCCUCUUUUUUCAAACCGCCCGUUAAGGCCGAAACGCUGACGUCAAUGUACGAGAUAAAUGCAUGAAAAGAAGAAAUCAUGGAGGAUACAAAGAGGUAGAAGUUGGAGAUGAAAAUGCUGUAGUUAAAGAGGAGGAACAUUUGACUCGUUUCAACCCCCUCAGACCAUUUUCGUCACGUAUGUGACAGCUCGGCACAUGAUGGACAAAAAAAACAAAACGAACGUCUGGUCUGAGAAGCUUGAAAAUCAGCAGCUGAAAUGUUGAGAGAAAAAAAAUGGUUCCCUUCAACGCCUCUGAAGACAUUUUUCACUUUGGUAGAAUAUUUCAGCAUUUCAGCAAAAACAUUUCCCUCAAUUUGCAUGCGAGUCUCCCCAAAGACACCCGGGCAGCGAGACACUGCCAAGCAGCACAACCCGAAGGCCACUCGGGCCCCGUCCGGGUCCCGUUAGCGUAUCCUCCGUUAGCAUUUCAAACCCGCUCAAGCGAAGUGCCAGCGGAGCUUCUUCUUGCGUUGAAAAAGCUCGCGCAGUCUAAAUGCGUUCUGGCUGCUUGGUGCUUGGGUGGAAUCACUCCACGGCGCCGCUCUCUGCCGGUCACGCGCAGCCUCUUAAGUGCGAUCCAGACGUAGUGUUUGCUGACGAGAUCCGUGCGCUCGUGUCGGUGCGUUGUGCGUAAAUCAAAGUAGUGUUGAUUUUUGCAAACAAGUACAUUUCCCAGAAUGACAAUGUCCGCUUCAACGAAACAGUUGCAUAUACGGCAGCGGUUUCUUAUUUUACUGCAGAUUGAAAUUCUUAUCAAGCUUUUGAUUCCUCCUCCGCCGGCCUCCCAUGUGGGCGACGUUGAUAUGAAAUAGGACUUCAGAAGAAGGGGAGAAGGUGGCGCGUCACAGUGAGAGGAGGCCACAGGCGGGAAAUGACCGUUCAGUGAAUAUUUCUACGUUGGGACUCUUCUUGUCGGAGCCGCUGUGCGACUCGAGGAGACGUCAGCGGGGCCGCGACUCUUCCCAAAGACCCUCGUGCUUCCUCCACCGCGAUGUGUGAAGGUCUGAGAUGAAUGAAAUGGUCACGUGUGUGUGUGUGUGUGCGUGUGUGUGAUAAUGGUUUCCUUACCCAGUGCAAAUAACCUGAAUUAUAAAGACACAGUCCUUCGGCCGUGGUGGCGAGUGAACUCAGUGUAAAGCAACCAGUGGGGGGGGGGGCCUCAAACAUCGGCUCCUAAAUAAAGUCAGUGGCAUCUCCGGUCCCUGAUUCGUUCCAGAGGGAUGCAUUGUGGGUAAAGUGCAGGGGUGACGGGUCCCUCGGAGAUUUCCUUAAAUUAAAAAUUUCAACACUUUUCCGCUUCGUUCCUUCAAACCAACAAAACAUACGACUCCUUUUCCUUCACAAACAUCCAACAAGGUCAACUUGUCUUCUUCCUCUUUUUGUUCCUUCAUGCUCUUCCCCCCUCGGCCCGUCCCGGACUCCCUGCUCCUCCUCUGGUAGGAGUCAGAGUUUGUCCUGAAAACAGCUACAGUCCGUCCCGGCCUCCGUUCCACUGGCCAGUGCAUGCGGGUGGGGCGGGGCGGACGGGAGG